rnacentral:misc_RNA from 1 species
AACAUCUCAAAUCUCUCUUCGCUUUGCGUCGAGAGAAUUGGAUUUGAGCGAUCCCGACUCCUUCAUCAGAAAGAGGAGGGUCGCUUGAAAUGCAGGUGCAGCUGGACAUUCUUCUGAGCUAAAAGCAUAUCUAUUUAGUCCCGUCAAACGGAUUAUUACUUUUGCUUCAGCUAAUAUAAAGGUUGAAUGAACUACCAACGCUGAUUGCAGGAAAACUUGUUCGUUUAUUCGAACUUGUAA